rnacentral:rRNA from 1 species
AUGAACGCUAGCUACAGGCUUAACACAUGCAAGUCGAGGGGCAGCAUGAACUUAGCUUGCUAAGUUUGAUGGCGACCGGCGCACGGGUGAGUAACACGUAUCCAACCUGCCGAUGACUCGGGGAUAGCCUUUCGAAAGAAAGAUUAAUACCCGAUGGCAUAGUUCUUCCGCAUGGUAGAACUAUUAAAGAAUUUCGGUCAUCGAUGGGGAUGCGUUCCAUUAGGUUGUUGGCGGGGUAACGGCCCACCAAGCCUUCGAUGGAUAGGGGUUCUGAGAGGAAGGUCCCCCACAUUGGAACUGAGACACGGUCCAAACUCCUACGGGAGGCAGCAGUGAGGAAUAUUGGUCAAUGGACGAGAGUCUGAACCAGCCAAGUAGCGUGAAGGAUGACUGCCCUAUGGGUUGUAAACUUCUUUUAUACGGGAAUAAAGUGAGGCACGUGUGCCUUUUUGUAUGUACCGUAUGAAUAAGGAUCGGCUAACUCCGUGCCAGCAGCCGCGGUAAUACGGAGGAUCCGAGCGUUAUCCGGAUUUAUUGGGUUUAAAGGGAGCGUAGGCGGACGCUUAAGUCAGUUGUGAAAGUUUGCGGCUCAACCGUAAAAUUGCAGUUGAUACUGGGUGUCUUGAGUACAGUAGAGGCAGGCGGAAUUCGUGGUGUAGCGGUGAAAUGCUUAGAUAUCACGAAGAACUCCGAUUGCGAAGGCAGCUUGCUGGACUGUAACUGACGCUGAUGCUCGAAAGUGUGGGUAUCAAACAGGAUUAGAUACCCUGGUAGUCCACACAGUAAACGAUGAAUACUCGCUGUUUGCGAUAUACAGUAAGCGGCCAAGCGAAAGCGUUAAGUAUUCCACCUGGGGAGUACGCCGGCAACGGUGAAACUCAAAGGAAUUGACGGGGGCCCGCACAAGCGGAGGAACAUGUGGUUUAAUUCGAUGAUACGCGAGGAACCUUACCCGGGCUUGAAUUGCAACUGAAUGAUGUGGAGACAUGUCAGCCGCAAGGCAGUUGUGAAGGUGCUGCAUGGUUGUCGUCAGCUCGUGUCGUGAGAUGUUGGGUUAAGUCCCGCAACGAGCGCAACCCCUGUGAUUAGUUGCCAGCGAGUAAUGUCGGGAACUCUAAUCAAACUGCCGGUGAUAAAUCGGAGGAAGGUGGGGAUGACGUCAAAUCAUCAUGCCCUUUAUGUCCUGGGCUACACACGUACUACAAUGGCGUUUAACAAAGAGAAGCAAGACCGCGAGGUGGAGCAAAACUCAAAAACAACGUCUCAGUUCAGAUUGCAGGCUGCAACUCGCCUGCACGAAGUCGGAAUUGCUAGUAAUCGCAGAUCAGCAUGCUGCGGUGAAUACGUUCCCGGGCCUUGUACACACCGCCCGUCACACCAUGGGAGUCAGUAACGCCCGAAGUCAGUGACCCAACCGUAAGGAGGGAGCUGCCGAAGGUGGGACCGAUAACUGGGGUG